CUCACUGCAAAGCCCAGCCUCCCUAUUGAGAAGCAGUCAAGGUACUGCGAUGUAGCUCCCAUGUUGAAAAACGAUCUCAGACCAACUCUGAGACAAGGAAUGCCUCCGGGUAUGAGACUCAUUUGUCGUUGACUAAUGGAUUUGGAGACAGAGUGGGGGCCUAACGUCUAGUGGAGGAGAGAGACGUGAAUAAAUGUACGUAACAAGAGGCAUCUAAAAAAGUGACCUUGGGGGGAAAACUGAAGAUAGCAAAAAGCGGUUGACCACAACUCUGUCAUCUAGAUAUCUAUCACCAACUCUAAAAUGUGUGUAGUCAACAAAUGCUGUGAAGCUACAUUCACAAUUUGUAUGGAUGAGCCGUCUGAUUGGAAUAAGACUCAGAUGUGGAAGGUACAAGCUCUUCAAGAUGAGUGACCCUUCCAGUAGGUGAGGGUCUGCACUCUGUGCCAGUUAAAAGAUAGCUCCACAAGGCAAAUCAGUGUGCUCUGACCCAAAGGAAGUGCAAGGAAAAAGAACAGCUGCCCACUGUGGACUUCUGGACAUCCCAUCUUCUAAGACUUUAAAGGACUUGCAUCUACUUUUGUUAAUCUACAAGCAUUCUUGGUAAAUAUCAGAUACACAAUACUAGCUUUUCUCAUACGUCACAAUGGAAGAAAAGGUAAAAUCAAGACUCAUGCAUUUAACAUUAAUCUCUAGGAAAAAAACCAGGAUGGCUAAUUAAGCAGAUGACGUGAAAAGGAGAAAAGAAAGAAAAGAUGACUAUACUAGGCAAAACAGCUUUACUAAGAACAUAAACUAAGCGAACAUAGUUGUUUUUGUUGAUCAGGAGCUAUGCUGGUAAAUGAAAGAAAUGUGAGUGUGGGCUCCGCCUGUGUAGAGAAAAGUGUGUGCACAUACGGCCCCUUGAUUCUGCAAGACAGUCAUGCUCAGCUAAGAUGGGGAAAUACAAAUUAAAGAAAGAGUUAUUUGUGUCUGGCUGCAAGGCCAUCUCUCAAUAUUUUGAUUACUACAUGUAUGUCCACCAGCUGAUGAAGCUGUCUAGUCGUGUGUCACAGUGGCUACCAUUUGUUUUGCCCUGUUCAAAAUUUCUAUCAGUGACUUGGUUGACAAUGCCAUGUUUUAGUUUAUUUCUAAAGAAAAAACACAUACGUUUACUGGUUUCUUUAAGACUUCUCAUUGUCACAUAAUAAAAUUCACAUGCUCUUCCCCCACUUAAAGUUUUAAUUUAUUUUUCCCCCUGACGGCUGGGAGUUUGGUGUCAGUUCUGUUCCUUAAUGGUGGUGAUCUGCCUGACUGGCCACCUGGAAGCCCUAACGCCUCUUACUCCUUGUGAAUAAACUCUGUUCAAUUAUCUUCAAUGCUGUAUUUAACUGGCAUGCCUAAAUCCUCUCUACAAGGUAGAAAGUCAACCCUUAGUAUUUUUCAGCUUGUAAUAUAGUGUAGUUUCAUCCCAACAAAACAAAUGCUUUUGUGGGAAGUCCAUUCGGCUUCCAUAAAGACUUGCAGGUCCCUGGUGAGAUGGAGAGGAUCAGCACAGAAUUGAACUGGCUCCAGAGCUGCCCCUGGGCUCACAGACCCUGUAGCCUUCCUGCCCUGCCUGGUAAACUUGCCUUGACAUUCAUUUCCUCCUUCUUGGUCUCCCCUACUGUGGAGUGUGACCACCUGUCUGAGCUCCUUCUCUUUCGUCAGCAUAUGGCUUGGGCUUCCCUGCCCCCAUACUUAGCUCUGUCUCCCGACUCCUGCUUUUAUUUUUCAGCAACUUAUCUUGAUGGUUCUACAAACAGCUUUCUGAUUCAUCAUUGAGAGCAACUCCUCCCAGAACUAACCUUUACCAGUGGGCUGUAGCUUCUGUGGAGACAGAAAAGAGAGUCUUUCUCCCUCUCCUUGUUCCAAACGACUGAGUGGUUUUGCUACCAUUUUAGAAAGCAAGCAUUUAACACGUGCCAGUGUUUAAUCAAUUGACUAAUUUGUAACACACUGCUUCAUUACUUCCGUGUUCACACACAGGCACACACAUACACGUGCGCAAAUGUCCCUAUUUUUACAGACAAAUUCAUCUGUCCAGAUUAUAAGAGGAAACGUAGUGUAUUAAAUACACACUUCUUAAAAAUGUUAGUAUUUGGUUUUUAACUUUAUUUUUUUCACUUUAUUGAGGAAUAAUUGACAAAUAAAAAUUAUGUAUGUCUAAAGUAUAUAAAGUGAUGUUUUCAUGUAUGUAUACACCGUGAAGUGAUUUCUACAAUAAAGCUAAUUAACAUAUCCAUAUACUUACGAUCUACUCUCUUAGUGAAUUUCAGAUAUACAAUACAUUAUUAACUGUAGUCAUCAUGCUGUACAUUAGCUGUUCAGAAAGUAUUCAUCUUGUAACUGUAAGUUGGUACCCUUUGACCAACACCUC
rnacentral:lncRNA from 10 species